rnacentral:tRNA from 1 species
GCCGGGGUAGCUCAGGGGUAGAGCACGCGACUGAAAAUCGCGGUGUCGGCAGUUCGAAUCUGCCCCCCGGCACCA